rnacentral:rRNA from 1 species
UACGUAGGGGGCAAGCGUUGUCCGGAAUUACUGGGCGUAAAGGGCUCGUAGGCGGCCAACUAAGUCCGACGUGAAAUCCCAAAGCUUAACUUUGGAACUGCGUCGGAUACUGGAUGGCUUGAAUUCGGGAGAGGGAUGCAGAAUUCCAGGUGUAGCGGUGAAAUGCGUAGAUAUCUGGAGGAAUACCGGUGGCGAAGGCGGCAUCCUGGACCGACAUUGACGCUGAUGAGCGAAAGCUAGGGGAGCAAACGGG